rnacentral:rRNA from 1 species
AACGGCGAGUGAAGCGGCAAAAGCUCAAAUUUGAAAUCCCCCCGGGGAAUUGUAAUUUGAAGGUGCCAGGCCCCGACGUCCCCCCCCCGCUCAAGUCCAUUGGAACAUGGCGCCUUGGAGGGUGAGAGCCCCGUACAGCGGCGGGCGGCGUCCCUGCGGUCUGACUCCGACGAGUCGAGUUGUUUGGGAAUGCAGCUCAAAGUGGGUGGUAAAUUCCAUCUAAAGCUAAAUAUUGGCGAGAGACCGAUAGCGAACAAGUACAGUGAUGGAAAGAUGAAAAGCACUUUGAAAAGAGAGUGAAACAGCACGUGAAAUUGUUGGAAGGGAAGGGCUUGCAAGCAUACACGGCCCUCGUGGCCGGGCCAGCAUCGGUUGCCGCGGGGCGGAAAAUACGCCAGGAAUGUGGCUCUUGCCCUCGGGCAGGGAGUGUUAUAGCCUGCGCGUGAUACGCCCAUGCGCGACCGAGGCCUGCGAUCUAUGAUCUAAGAUGCUGGCGUAAU